UAAAAUUUCUAUUAUUAGUUAACCUUUUGAACGCGUGCAAUUUAGUCAGUUAUAUUAUGGAAAUAAGUGCAAGCAAUUGGUGUGAUAAAGCUGCAGUGAAACCACUUUAAUUGGAACUUACAUAUAUUAUAUAAUGUCUUCCAGAGAAAAGUGUAAGAAGUUUUAGUAGUCGUUUUAUACAACGUUAUAAAAAUACAAUAUGUCGAUUAACAGAACACAACGGACACAAAGCAAAUACCUAUAUUUCAGAAAACAAAUUGAAGCAGUUAUCCAAACAUGUCUGAUGUUUACUUAUGUAGGUUCCUAGCUUUUCUUUAGUUAAAGAGUGCGAAAGCUUGUCUUCACAACGUUUAGAAUCCGAAUCAUGUAAAUUAAAAAAUGCUCAUUUCGUAUACAAAAGUGGUUCAGCCGUCUUUAUAAAAAUGCGGUUUUUAAAAUAUCGACAACGCUUUGCACAUUCAGCCAAUCCACAAUUCGAUAGAGACCAGGAGUGAACCUUGUAGAAUUAUUUUAUGACAUCAUAUUUACUUUGUGUAUUAUAAAUGGAUUCAAAUUCAAUGGAGCUCAUCGAUUUCAAAAUAUGUAUGUAUAUUCGCAUGCCUUCAUUAUUUUUAAUUAUGUGAGUUUAAAUUUUUCUUAGAACAAAAGACAUUCAUUGAUUCAGGGUUUAAAUAAUUUUUACUUAAAGUUAAGCUCUUAACAAUAUUAAUUCAAAGUAUUAGUAUGCAUAUUAAUUUAAAAUUAAUAAUUAUGGCUAUUUAAAAACAAUUUUUGGCUUACAGCGAUUACAGAAGUUAUGUUAUCUUAUAAGUAAACUUAAUUAAUGUUUUUCUUUCGUUUUUAUAUAAAUAUAUAAUACUAUUAUAUCUUUAAAUAUUUGCAUUAGGAUUCUUCUGGUUCGGUUUUAAUUGUUAUUAAAGCAUUGAAUAAUACACGCAUUGCUUUAGCUUGUUUCGCUUGACUCAUUUCCAAUAUAAUUGCAGCAACUGUUUGACCAAAUAAAUUUAUGGAAUCGUUAGUUUUUACCGUCGUCAUGUUUUCUCUGCAAGUUUCUGGUGAACGAAAGAACUUUUCCUCAUUACCAUUUGGUACUAUCAUCUUUUCUCUACAAUCUUCAAUCGUUCGUGCAAAUAGCUCAUUAUCCGGAGGCAUCGACAUUGUAUCUAUAAAAAAUUCCUUUUUGCAUACUAAGGUUGGAGAGUUACAUGCUUCUGAAACCUCACUAUCGUCUGCGCAGACCCGUUUCCGUCUCUUCCUAUUUAUUGCAACAAUAGCUGGAUCCCUAUAAGAAUCCUUUGAGUCACGGGUACUGUAAUAUGACUUGAAUUAUUAAAAGCACAAUUCAUAUGUUUAACUGUAAACUUACUGUCGUGGCUUAACAGAAUCUUUUAAAAACGAUAGCGAAUUAAAUAAAGGCCACUGAACACAUGAACUUGCAUCAUCAUUGCUUUCAGAAAGCAUUUCCGCUUGCUUUAGUUCUCUAGAAUAACGUUCUCGUAAGCCUCUCCACCUGCUAGAACAUGCUUCGGCUAAAAAUCGUGUAAAUUUAUUUUAUGCUAAAAUAACGGAAGUUUAUUUACUAACCAGUUAUACCCAUCUGUUCUGAGAUUUCAAACCAGGCUUCUGUCUUUUGACUAGAAUAUCUAAGUCCUAAACAGUUUUUCUGGUAAAGUACAUUAUGAGCACGUACCAGUUGGAUUAACAACUCGUCGUUCACUGAAAAAUAAUGCAGAAAUUUACAAAUUGAUCAAUUAAUUGGUUAUUAUACCCUGAACAAGGUAUAUAUAAAUAUUUAGUUGAUUUAUAGAGGGUAUUAUAGUUUCGGUGUUUACUUAAUUUUUUCUUGUUGAUAUUUAUACUUUGAGACAUUCCAAGUGACAUAUGUAUAUACUUACCUUCAUUUGAUG